CGUGCGCCUACAAGCGGUUGGAGCGGAUUUAAUCCGUGACAGCGUGCCUUUUGCAUAAUGAGCCUACGAGUUAGUCGUAGUUAGCAAGGUUAAGACUUUCAGGGUCGGAGCCGAAGCGAAAGCGAGUCUGAAUAGGGCGAAAAAGUUAGCUGCGCUAGACGCGAAACCAAGUGAUCUACCCAUGAUCAGGUUGAAGCUGUGGUAACACACAGUGGAGGACCGAACCAGUUGACGUUGAAAAGUCUUUGGAUGAAUUGUGGGUAGGGGUGAAAGGCCAAUCA
rnacentral:rRNA from 1 species